GGCCACCACAGCCCCUGCCUCUCUUCCUACCUGCACCCAGUGGGAGGCCCAAGGGCCAAGCAGCAGAGACGUGGCCACCGUCACGGCUGGAGCAGGACCGCAGAUGGGCGAGGGACUCAGAUGGGCAUUUGUGGAGGUCAUGCCUGUUUUCUCUGUACCAGGCACAAGAAGGACGUCUGGACUACGCCGAGGGGGCUGUGAGGGUCUCUUGCUGAGAACACUGAAGCUCAGGGGCUGCAUGACCCCUCGGGGCCUGUGGCUGCUCAGGGGAGGUCAGGACUGGGGCCAGGAGUGACCAGGCGUCCUCUCCCUGGUGUGGACGGUCCUGAGCGCCUACAGAGGCCCUGAGGGCCUUCCCCCCACACUCCCUUGGUGGCGGGCGGGUGGGCAUGUGCCCCCCCACUGCUCCUCUGGACGCCAACGCCACCUUCAAGCUGCCCUUUAACUUAUAUGCCAGGCAUUCAUCUCCAUUCUGGCCCAGGUUGCGGGGGGAGCAGGACGGGGAGGGACAGCGCGUGCAGGCUGGCAUGGUCACCCCCAAGCCCUCUGGGCAGUGGGCAGGACUCAGGGCUCCAUGCCCCUGUGGGCUCAGAGGGCAGCCCGCCCAGACGUGGGCAAUGGGAGGGCCCUGGCUCCCCUGCGGGCUCAGAAGGCACAAACGAAUGCCCGAGGUGGGCUCCUGAGAGCUGGACCUGGCCAGAGGCAGGGGAAGUUGGAGGGAGCAAGACGGGUGUACCCGCCCUCCUCUGCGGGCCAGCCGCUGGGAGGGGCAGCUUCUCUGCAGAUUUUCUGGAGGAGUCCUCGUCCUCUGGGCGUCCAGCUGGGACACCUCACACCCUGAGGUCAGAGCCAUCAGCCCCCAGCCCCCACAGAGCUCCCGGCCCUUGGGGGCAUUUAGCCCUUGCCUCAGGCCCUGCUUUCUAGGGACCUGGGCUGAGACACAAGCUGGGGCUCUGGGAAGUGGCGGGGGUGACCCAGGCGAGGCUAGUUAAGGCUGGAGUCACUGCUCUGUCAUUGUCCCAAUCAGGGAUCCAGGAAUCAGGGAGGGACUGGGCGGUUGGACGUGACCUUCGGGAAGGACCUUGCGCUGCGCUUGGCUUCUGGGUGGGAACCGGGGUCCCGUGGGGGCCCCAGGUGACUGACUGCAGGCCGCAGGACCGCCCCAGGUCAGGGCCGGGAGUGGCGGGAGCACAGGGGUCUAACCGUGCAGGCCCCUCCCAGGGCCGGGUGGAGAGCCCUCAGAGCCUGUUCCCGGCGCCCAAAGGUGAACCAGCAGAGCGCACCCAAGAAAAAGCGGUUAACUGUUCUGCCUCCGUCAAAGUGGCGGCCAAGUGGUUAACUGGCUUUGCUGUCAACGGCGUAAUGAAUAUUCAUGAGGUGGGCUGUCCUCAGGCCUGUGGCUCCCAUGCAGCCCGGUGUGCGCGCCUGCGCGGCUGCGUGCGUGCAUGCGUGCGUGCGUGCGUGCGUGGGGCGUGCGGUGCCUGCCGCACAGUCUUCUUCCGCCCACGCUCGGACCCCUGCCCGCCCUCGGCCCGGAUUGGCCAGCUGCUGUCUCGGAAAUGCCAUGGCAACCCCGGCCGGUUGCCUGGCGAGGCUUCGCUUCUCCCCAUUUUCCGUGGAGCCCAAGCCAGUAAAUCUCCACGCUCGGGGGCGGAAACGUCUUUGUGCUGCGUGUGCACACAGGUGUGCAGAUACCUGUGCGCGCGUGUGCAAGCGGGGGGUGGAGUGGCUGUCACCCCCAGCAGACCCCCGAGCCGGGCCGGGCCUGCACACACAGCCGUCUGCCCGAGCCCAGGCUGGGCGCGUCCCUUGCUCGGGGAACGCGAUGGUGGGGCCUCAGAGCGCAGGCUCGGUCACACCUGCUCGGAUGCCCGCUGCGACGCCCACCAACGAGGCUCCCCAAGCCCAAAGGACCCGAGGGACCAGGGCUUGUCCUCAGUGAGGAUGACAUCAUGACAGGGCUUGUGCAGCACGAUGAAGCAGGGCUUCUGCCACCUCACAGACUGUGUCCCCCACACUGGGGUGGGCGGGGCUUGGCCCGUGGUGUGAGGGGUCUUGGCGUCCCGCUGCCUGGCUGUGAGGAGCUGCGGGCCCUGCCAGUGCCCGGCCUGGGCCCCUCCUCCCCCGAGGGGUUCCUAGUGGUUAUUGAGGGACCAGCCCCAUAGAGGAAAAGGAGCGGGGAGGCCUCCUCAUUGGCGGUGGUCUUUAUUUUUUGCUUAAAAAGGAUUUAAGGAGAAUUUUAAACCAAGGAAGUUGACAAUGGCAGAGGGGAGCCUGCCCCGCUGUCACCCAAAGCCGACGGGUGGCACUGCCGGCAGCACUCUCACCCCACCCCUGGAUGUCACACGCCUGGACGAGCAUGUCCGGGGAGCAGACGGAUGUGCGUGGCAGGCAGAGGGUUGGCCCCGACCUGGGACAGCUGGCAGAACAUGGCCAGAGUGGGCAGCCCGUGGGAACCGGAGGGGCCUCAGGGGACGUGGGGGACGCGGGUGGGAAGCCAGUUCUAAGUUCACUGUUUCCCUCCUGAGCGGCGAUGGGUGAGAAAUUGCAGUAAGCACCCUGGAGAGUCUGGUUUCCUUUAUUUGGGGACAUCACAGAACUGAACUCUUUGCUGUCAGUGGCACAUAGGAUUAAGAAAUCAAAGGAAUUUGUCCCACUUUUGGCAUCACAAAGCAGAAUAGCAGAGAAAACUCUGUGAGCGCGCGCAGACAUAGGUAUUUUUCUGUUUUUCUUUUUGGGGCCGCACCUGCGGCACGUGCAAGUUCCCAGGCUAGGGGUCGAAUCGGAGCUACAGCCGCAGGAACGUGGGAUCUGAGCUGCAUCUGCGACCUACCCCACAGCUCACGGCAACGCCAGAUCCUUCACCCACAGAGCGAGGCCAGGGAUGGAACCCGCCACCUCACGGACACUCGUCAGGUUCACGUCAGCCGCUGAGCCACGACGGGAGCUCCGACACAGGUAUUCCCAGUGCCGUCUCCUCUUGGACAGCGUGUGCAGCGCCUGUUCGCGUGUCCGUGUGCGCGCAAACAUACGUGUGUGUGUGUGUGUGUGUGUGUGGUGCACUCAGGGAACGUGGCUCCAGCUGAUGCGGACACACUUUGCGAACCACAGCAGCAGAAUCAUUUUCCAUGAAAAGCCGCAGAGCGAUAUUAUCUGGGAUCCAUCCCGGAGGGAGGCAGGGAGGGAGGAGACCAACCCCACUCCCCGGGCCUGGGUGGCCUGGGGCAGUUGUUCUGACAGGACCCUGGGCAGCCGAAGCUUGAUGGAUGCUUGAUGCUCAGGUGCAGACAGAGCGCAGAGGCAGGGAGGGAGCUGCUUCCUCUGCGCGUGGACUGGGGCUGGAGGAAGGCCCCGGGUCAGUUCCCUGGGAGCAAGGCCCCUGGGGAUGCUCCCCUCCCUCUCCCCCUCCCGUGGACAGGUAGGCAGGUGGAGUGGCUUUGCAGCAGGUCCUGGGGCGGCGGGGCUGUGUCAGCCCAGCUUCCUGGUAUUGAGGGGCACGCCCCAGGGAGGAAGGAGGGGUGGGCUCCCCUGAAAAGCCCUCAGGGUGCAGCCUCCAGAACCUUCUCCAGAUCCUCAGGGAUUGGGCCUGGACUGAUGGGAAGGGCUGGGUGGCAAUGGGAGCAGCCCAGGCCCCGUCCAGGGACCCACAGUCGUGGGUGCAGCUGGCUGGUUUGGGCAGCAGCUGUGUGAAGGUUGGGGGGGGCGGUUCCGGGGCAGCGUGUCCCAGAGAGACUGAGAGCAGAGGCCGCGAGGAGGCCAGGGCAGCUGCAGUCGACAAGAGGACCCCCUCACGCAGGAGCGGGGCAGGGGGCUGCUGUGAAAGGCACGUCCCCUCCGGGGAGCCCUGGAUCUGUCUCCAGGUGGUGGAGGGUCGGCACCCCUUCCUCUGGAAGUGGAGGUGGAGCUUGGCAUGCCCCAGGGGAGACCGCACAGGCUGCCUACCCCUCCUGCCAUGGGGGCCCCAGGCAGAGGCUGAGCCUGGCGUCUGGGGAUUUGGGGGAACAAAGUCCCACUGGGGCUGGAGCAGACAAAGGGGUGGGGGCUCCCCUGCGUGUGUAGCCAGCAGCCCCCCAGUGGGCGCUCCCUCCUGCUGGCUGGCUGGGGAGGAGGUGGCUGUCCUGUUUGGGGACCUGCUGCUGGAGCAGACCGCGGGGUGAGGGCCCAAGACCUGGCUUUGCAGCCAGGACCCAGGUGUCCUUAGAGCUGAAGAUUCGCUGGUGUGGGUGUGAUGGGUGUGUCUGGGGGUAAGUGGUGGGGGGGCGGCUGUGAGAUGACCUCACCCACCAGGAAGUGCUGCAGUGGAAGAUAGGGGUGGGGGCGGCAGGGAGGACCCUGGGGACACAGGCCCAGGGGGUGCAGAAUGCCCUUCCAGGGCGGGAUGUGGAGCAGUGCCCAUCUGUGGUGCUGGGAGCUUAAGGGGGGAGGCGAGGGGCCUGGAGGCCAUCCUGAGGCUGCAGGAGGCCCCCUCGGGAGCGCAGAGGGUGGCCAGCAGCUGGCAGGCCCCUCAGUGGGGACACAGGGCUGCAUAGAGCCAGUGUGGGCACCUGGCUUGUCCAGUUCAAAGACCUCCGGGCAUGAAGGGGUGGCCCGGGGCCAGCGUGGGCUUCUUGUGGUGCCUGGAGAUCAGGCCGCCCGCUGGGCAGGUCAGUCCACAGGCUCUUCCCGCUGUGCCUGGGGCCGCACUCCUGCGAUGCCGGAACCGGAGGGAGAGGCAGGAAGACCCAGAGGCGUCACCAUGGAAACGAGGUGUGUUGGGAAGAAGCUGCCAGGAGAGGUGCUUGUGGGUGGGGCCCAGCUGUGGGCGCCUGGCUGGUGAUGGGGUCUGGACCCUCGACCCAUGGAGCGGGCACCAGGGCUGGGGGAGCCGGAGCUGCCGAUGGUCCCGCAGGUGGGCAUGUCUGUCCAGCACUGGAAGGUUCUGGACCCAAUAACUGCUCGGCAGGCCUCUCCCAAGGCUUCGGCUUUGGUUUCCUGCCUUCACGGGGCUGAGGCAGAUCAGCCUGUGGUGAAGGGCCUGGCGUGUCCGGCUCUGUAGCUGCCGUUACCUUCUCCCCUGGCGCAUGCGGAGGGUCUGUGCCCAAAGCUGGGGGGGUGCUGCUUUGCGGCAGGGUUCCUGAGUGCACCUGGGAGGGAGGGGGGAGCGAGAGGCGCCCCCUCGCUCGGGGGAUGGGGGCCACACCUGCAGCCAAACUUCUGACCUGAGAACACGUCCAGGGCCCUGGGAAAACCCCGGCCCCUCCGGCUCCCACACUGGCGCCCUGCACCCUCAGGCAUCCUGCCCCCUGGCCAGGCCCCCGUGCCGGCCCUGGGGCCCCCGAGACAAGAACAGCGGCCCCUCUGCCCAGCGCUGCUGUUACCCACUUCCCCAGAGGGGCAGCAACCCUGCAGAGCCUAAAGCCUUGAUGAGCUGACCCUCCCUGGGCACCCGUCCACCAGGAGGGCCCAGACCGGGGGCUUUUGCUCGCUCCCGGCGCUCGUACCACACAACCCACAGCCGGGGGGCUCCAGGCCUGGGGCUCGGCUGAGGGAAAAUUCGCCCAGUGCCAGCCUGUGGCCGGGCGGUCCAUCUUCUAACCAGCGGGCAGAGCCCAGUUGGCAGUGAGCGUUUCUAAAGCAUGUGGCCAUCACGUCCUGAUCCGGGCAGGGCUGGGCUGAGCCCACAGGGGUUCAGGGACCCAGGGCGGCUGAGCCCCUGGGAGGGCGGGGAGGGCCCGCAAGGACCUGGCACAGGGCGCCUCGUCCUGGCCUCUGGCACACGAGGUGGUCGGGGCCCGUGCUCAGCAUCCAGGAGGAAGGCGCGUGGCUGAGAGACUGGGUCCGGCCAGCAGCAUGAUGGCGGCAGAGGUGUCCACAUGCACGGCCCUCGAGCUAAGGCCCAGCCCGGGUUUCCUCCAGCGCCGACUGGAGCCUGACCCUCUGGGGGAGGCAGUGUCCUGAGCUGGACCAGCUGCUCGUGGUGCUUUAACGCUCUCUCCCCCUCCCUCCCUCUCUCCUUCCUUCAACAGCUUUGCUGAGACAGAAUUCACAUACCCUACGUAUCAGCCACUUCAACUGUACAACGAAACCGUUCUUAUUUUCAGGGUUGUAGAGCCCACCGUCCAUCGGGGGGGGGCAUUUAUCACCCUGUGUAAACCGUGCACCCCACCGCUCACCUCCAUCCUCCCGUUGCCGCAGCCCCUUGGCAACCACUGAACCACCUCCUGACGGAGGACUUGCUUGUUCUGGACAUUUCGCAGCGGGGGGCUCAGACAGCGGGGGAGUCUUCCGUCUGCUUCCUUCGUAGUGUUUUCAGGGUCACCCCAUGUGAUGACGUGGGUGAGGGCGUCAUUCCUUUUAAGGGCAGACUAUCCCCUUGGAGGAGAGACCGCGUCUUAUUAACGUAUACGUGAUAAAAUUGACAGUUGAGCUGUUCCCACUUUGGGCCAUCAUGAAUAAAGCUGCUGUAA
rnacentral:lncRNA from 1 species